rnacentral:rRNA from 1 species
UUAUUAUAUACUUACUAUAUUUUAUAUUUAAACAUAUUUUUUAAUUAAAGUAAUUUUUUUAUUUAUUGUUUAUGUAUUUAUUAGAUUAAAUAAUUUUAGUAAUAGUAUAUUAGUACAGUGUUGGGUUGUUUAGUAUAAAUUUUAAUUAUAAGAAAAGUAGAUUUAAUUUGUUGUACCUUUUGUAUCAGGGUUUAUUAAUAUUUAAAUAUGAAUUAUAUUUAUCCCGAAUUUGGUAGGGCUAAAUUUAUAUGAAAUUCUUUGUUUCAAAAAGGUUUUUAAUUUAAUUUUAGUAAUGAAAUAUUAAACGGUACCAAAUAUAUCUGGUUUUUCAAGAUUUAAAUUUAAUUUAUUUAUUUUUAUUACAUUAUUUUUAAUAUAAAAUUAGUUGUAUUUAAAUAAAACAUUUUUUGGGGAUAAGCUCAGAAAAUAUUUUAUAAUCAUGUUGGUUUUUAAAAAUUAAUAGGAUUAGAAAUUUCCAUUUUUAAGUAAAAUGUUAUAAUUAAUUUUUUUAGAAAAUUAACUUUUUUUGUAUUUAAGUUUUUAUUGAAAUAUAGAUUUUAAUAAUAUUUUUUUUGUAAUAAUGAUAAAAUUAGUAUUAUUUAUUUUAAACUUAAAAUUUGUUUAAAGAUUAAAAUAAGGAAUUCAGCAAUAUUACACUCGCCUGUUUAUCAAAAACAUGUCUUUUUGUUUAUAAUAUAAAGUCUGGUCUGCCCACUGAAAUUUUUAAAGGGCCGCAGUAUUUUGACUGUGCAAAGGUAGCAUAAUCAUUUGCCUUCUAAUUAGAGGCUGGAAUGAAUGGCUGGACGAGGUGUAAACUGUCUCAUUUUAAUAAUAUUAAGAAUUUAACUUUUGAGUCAAAAGGCUUAAAUUUAUUUAAAGGACGAGAAGACCCUAUAGAUUUUUAUAAAUUUAAUAAUUAAAAAUUUUAGUAUAUAAUUAUUUUUUAUUACAAAAUUUAUUUUGUUGGGGUGACAUUAAGAUUAAUUUAACUCUUGAAUUAUUAUUACAUAGAUUAAUGAAUUUUUGAUCCAUUAUUAGUGAUUAUUAGAAUAAGUUACCUUAGGGAUAACAGCGUAAUUUCAUUGGAGAGUUCUAAUCGAUAAUGAAGAUUGCGACCUCGAUGUUGAAUUAAAGAUAUUUCUGGGUGCAGAAGUUCAGAGAAAUGGGUCUGUUCGACCUUUAAAUCUUUACAUGAUUUGAGUUCAGACCGGCGUGAGCCAGGUCGGUUUCUAUCCUUAAUAAAAUACCUUUAUUUAGUACGAAAGGACCAAUUAGGGGAAAUAUUUUUUAGUUUAUUUGAAUAAAAUUAAUUU